rnacentral:rRNA from 1 species
UACAGAGGGUGCGAGCGUUGUCCGGAAUCACUGGGCGUAAAGGGCGCGUAGGUGGUGGCUUAAGCGUGCGGUGAAAGCUCGGAGCUCAACUCCGAGUCGGCCGUGCGAACUGGGCUCACUGGAGCAUAGUAGAGGCAGGUGGAAUUCCGGGUGUAGCGGUGGAAUGCGUAGAGAUCCGGAAGAACACCGGUGGCGAAGGCGGCCUGCUGGGCUAUGGCUGACACUGAGGCGCGACAGCGUGGGGAGCAAGCAGG